UGAAGAGUUUGAUCAUGGCUCAGAUUGAACGCUGGCGGCAGGCCUAACACAUGCAAGUCGAGCGGAAACGAUGGAAGCUUGCUUCCAGGCGUCGAGCGGCGGACGGGUGAGUAAUGCAUAGGAAUCUGCCCGAUAGUGGGGGAUAACCUGGGGAAACCCAGGCUAAUACCGCAUACGUCCUACGGGAGAAAGCAGGGGAUCUUCGGACCUUGCGCUAUCGGAUGAGCCUAUGUCGGAUUAGCUAGUUGGUGAGGUAAUGGCUCACCAAGGCCGCGAUCCGUAGCUGGUCUGAGAGGAUGAUCAGCCACAUCGGGACUGAGACACGGCCCGAACUCCUACGGGAGGCAGCAGUGGGGAAUAUUGGACAAUGGGCGAAAGCCUGAUCCAGCCAUGCCGCGUGUGUGAAGAAGGCUUUCGGGUUGUAAAGCACUUUCAGUGGGGAAGAAAUCCUCGGGGCCAAUACCCUCGAGGGAGGACAUCACCCACAGAAGAAGCACCGGCUAACUCCGUGCCAGCAGCCGCGGUAAUACGGAGGGUGCGAGCGUUAAUCGGAAUUACUGGGCGUAAAGCGCGCGUAGGCGGCGUGAUAAGCCGGUUGUGAAAGCCCCGGGCUCAACCUGGGAACGGCAUCCGGAACUGUCAGGCUAGAGUGCAGGAGAGGAAGGUAGAAUUCCCGGUGUAGCGGUGAAAUGCGUAGAGAUCGGGAGGAAUACCAGUGGCGAAGGCGGCCUUCUGGACUGACACUGACGCUGAGGUGCGAAAGCGUGGGUAGCAAACAGGAUUAGAUACCCUGGUAGUCCACGCCGUAAACGAUGUCGACUAGCCGUUGGGGUCCUUGUGACCUUUGUGGCGCAGUUAACGCGAUAAGUCGACCGCCUGGGGAGUACGGCCGCAAGGUUAAAACUCAAAUGAAUUGACGGGGGCCCGCACAAGCGGUGGAGCAUGUGGUUUAAUUCGAUGCAACGCGAAGAACCUUACCUACUCUUGACAUCGUGCGAACUUUCCAGAGAUGGAUUGGUGCCUUCGGGAACGCACAGACAGGUGCUGCAUGGCCGUCGUCAGCUCGUGUUGUGAAAUGUUGGGUUAAGUCCCGUAACGAGCGCAACCCUUGUCCCUAUUUGCCAGCGAUUCGGUCGGGAACUCUAGGGAGACUGCCGGUGACAAACCGGAGGAAGGUGGGGACGACGUCAGGUCAUCAUGGCCCUUACGAGUAGGGCUACACACGUGCUACAAUGGCCGGUACAAAGGGUUGCGAAGCCGCGAGGUGGAGCUAAUCCCGAAAAGCCGGUCUCAGUCCGGAUCGGAGUCUGCAACUCGACUCCGUGAAGUCGGAAUCGCUAGUAAUCGUGAAUCAGAAUGUCACGGUGAAUACGUUCCCGGGCCUUGUACACACCGCCCGUCACACCAUGGGAGUGGACUGCACCAGAAGUGGUUAGCCUAACUUCGGAGGGCGAUCACCACGGUGUGGUUCAUGACUGGGGUGAAGUCGUAACAAGGUAGCCGUAGGGGAACCUGCGGCUGGAUCACCUCCUU
rnacentral:rRNA from 1 species